UGGUCCCUACGGGAGGCAGCAGUGGGGAAUAUUGGGCAAUGGGCGCAAGCCUGACCCAGCAACGCCGCGUGAAGGAAGAAGGCUUUCGGGUUGUAAACUUCUUUUGUCAGGGACGAAGCAAGUGACGGUACCUGACGAAUAAGCCACGGCUAACUACGUGCCAGCAGCCGCGGUAAUACGUAGGUGGCAAGCGUUAUCCGGAUUUAUUGGGUUUAAAGGGUGCGUAGGCGGAAUGCCAAGUCAGCGGUAAAAUCGCGGGGCUCAACCUCGCUCCGCCGUUGCAACUGGCGUUCUUGAGUGGGCGG
rnacentral:rRNA from 1 species